AGGAACCUUUCAAUGCUGAGCCACCUCGUUCGGCCUUGAUUUCCUCUUAUGUAACUUCGGUGGAUUUCUUCUACAAGCGAAACAUGGUCCAGUCCCCAUUGUUGAUGACAUUGAAAGCUACAGAGUAUGUAUAGGUGGUGUGGUGGAAAAGCUCAUAGAACUCUCUAUGGCUGAUAUCAAGAAGCUACCAAAAUACAAUCUGACAGCCACCUUGCAAGUAAGUUUACAUACACCUACUACAUACAAUACAAGUCAAAGAACACAUAAAUGGACAUAGAAUGUAUAUGGAUGUAUUAGAUUUUACAUAAUAUAUA